AGCCCGUUGCGCCUGCGCACGGCGCUGCCGUCGCCCCUCCUUCCGUUGCGCUCUCCACCUGCGCGGAGUUGAAAGGCCUUCAGGAAAGCCGUCAGCCAGGGCAGUUGACGGUUACUCAGCGCCACGAGCCCUACUAACUCCUCCUCGCUCGGCGAGAAACUCUCCGCCUGGGCCCGCGUGAGAGGAGCGCAGCCUCUGAGGGGAGCGGCGACCCCGCCAGCCCCGGUCUCUUUCCCAGGCGGCGGCGGCGGCUUCUUCCGUGGGACAAUAUGUUCAAGAGAAUGGCCGAAUUUGGGCCUGACUCCGGCGGGAGAGUAAAGGGGGUUACUAUUGUUAAACCAAUAGUUUAUGGUAAUGUUGCUCGGUAUUUUGGAAAGAAAAGAGAAGAAGAUGGGCACACUCAUCAGUGGACAGUAUAUGUAAAACCAUAUAGAAAUGAGGAUAUGUCAGCAUAUGUGAAGAAAAUCCAGUUUAAAUUACAUGAAAGCUAUGGCAAUCCUUUAAGAGUUGUUACUAAGCCUCCAUAUGAAAUUACUGAAACAGGAUGGGGUGAAUUUGAAAUAAUCAUCAAAAUAUUUUUCAUUGAUCCCAAUGAAAGACCCGUAACCCUUUAUCAUUUGCUAAAGCUGUUUCAGUCGGACACCAAUGCAAUGCUGGGGAAAAAGACAGUGGUUUCAGAGUUCUAUGAUGAAAUGAUAUUUCAAGACCCAACAGCAAUGAUGCAACAAUUAUUGACAACAUCACGUCAGCUAACAUUAGGAGCCUACAAGCAUGAAACGGAAUCAGCAAGAAUGAUUGAGAACAGGAACAGCUCAGGACGUUCACAAGCAAGUCAUGAAUAGCUAGGAAUUCCCUUUAAGAGCAAAGGUUUUAUCAUCAGACAGACCGACCUGCAGGAUAUUACUAUAUGAAGAUGUAACGUUUGGAGCUGCAGGAAUCAUUUUAGGAUCAUGAGGCAAUCAAGCUAAGAAUGAAAGCCAAUAAGUUGAAGAUAGCAGAACAGAAGAAAGAACCUGGAUUCUUGGUGACACUUUUGGUCUCUAAAACUACUCUGAGAUGGCCAGCUUUGAACUCACCAAGUCAAUAAUGAAAGCUUGUAUGGCUUCAAUCAUGAUUAGUUGGCUUUUUUGUCAAUUUCCCCAAUGCCUUACCUGUGGUCAUCACAGUAGAAAAGUGAGGGAGCAAAAAUCCUAACCUGCUGCAAGGGUCACUCAGAGAUAGCCUCAUUUCCAUACUCAGGAGACAGGAUGCAUAUUCUUGGUUAAUCUUCUAUGAGUCUCAUCAGUCUUUAUCCUUCCCUUCCACAUGUCUCAGCUCCAUCAGAUGAAGCUUUUUUAUUCAUCUACAUUCUCAUCGUCGUUGCUUUCCUUGUUCUCUCCCAGGCAGAAUUCAUUUUUCUCAUUUAAAAUCUGACAUGCUUUGGCUUUGCGUCCCCAUCCAAAUUUCAUCUUGAAUUGUAAUCCCCAGGUGUUGAGGGAGAGACCUGGUGGGAGGUGAUUGGGUCAUGGGAGCAGAUUUCCCCCAUGCUGUUCUCAUGAUAGUGAGUGAGUUCUCAUGAGAUCUGAUGGUUUUAUAAGGGACUAUUUCCCCUUCACUCUCCCUCACUUCCCUCCUUCCACCUUGUGAAGAAGUGCCUGCUGCCUCUUCACCUUCUGCCAUGAUUGUAAGUUUCCUGAGGCCUCCCAAAGCCAUGCAGAACUCCGAGUUAAUUAAACCUCUUUCCUUUAUAAAUUA